GAUGAACGCUGGCGGCGUGCCUAAUACAUGCAAGUCGAACGAGCUCUUCGGAGCUAGUGGCGGACGGGUGAGUAACACGUUGGUACCUACCCCGAAGUGGGGAAUAACUGCCCGAAAGGGUGGCUAAUACCGCAUAAUACCGUAAGGUUAAAGCAGUAAUGCGCUUCGGGAGGGGCCUGCGUCCCAUUAGCUAGUUGGCGGGGUAAAUGCCCACCAAGGCGACGAUGGGUAGCUGGAUCGAGAGGUUGACCAGCCACACUGGGACUGAGAUACGGCCCAGACUCCUACGGGAGGCAGCAGUAAGGAAUCUUCCACAAUGGACGAAAGUCUGAUGGAGCAACGCCGCGUGCAGGAUUAAGGCCUUCGGGUUGUAAACUGCUUUUAUAUAGGAAGAUUAUGACGGUACUAUAUGAAUAAGGACCGGCUAACUACGUGCCAGCCGCCGCCGUAAAAC
rnacentral:rRNA from 1 species